rnacentral:rRNA from 1 species
GAUGAACGCUGGCGGCGUGCCUAAUACAUGCCAGUCGAGCGAACAGACGAGGAGCUUGCUCCUCUGACGUUAGCGGCGGACGGGUGAGUAACACGUGGAUAACCUACCUAUAAGACUGGGAUAACUUCGGGAAACCGGAGCUAAUACCGGAUAAUAUAUUGAACCGCAUGGUUCAAUAGUGAAAGACGGUUUUGCUGUCACUUAUAGAUGGAUCCGCGCCGCAUUAGCUAGUUGGUAAGGUAUCGGCUUACCAAGGCAACGAUGCGUGUCCGACCGGAGAGGGUGAUCGGCCACACUGGAACUGAAACACGGUCCAGACUCCUACGGGAGGCAGCAGUAGGGAAUCUUCCGCAAUGGGCGAAAGCUUGACGGAGCAACGCCGCGUGAGUGAUGAAGGUCUUCGGAUCGUAAAACUCGGUUAUUAGGGAAGAACAAAUGUGUAAGUAACUAUGCACGUCUUGACGGUACCUAAUCAGAAAGCCACGGCUAACUACGUG